GGGGCGUUGGGCAAGAGGUCAAGCCGCAGCUCUUUCAAAGCUGAAAUCGCGGGUUCGAAUCCCGCACGCCCUG
rnacentral:tRNA from 1 species